ensembl:lncRNA
CACACGUAUAAUGAAUUCACAUUUAUUUCAGCAAUUUAGCAAACAUCAGGGAAAUAAAAGGCAAUGUACACUUCAAUACACUCGAAUUGCUGUAAAGCACCAGACUUCCUGAAUGUUCCUCCACCCAUCAGAGAAGAAACUCCUGUUUCUCACCAGCACACACUCGUAGCUUCACUCCUCCCCCUGACUGACUGACAUUAACAUGUUAUUAAUAUGCAAACAGGUGGAAGCACGGAUACGUAGUUCUCUCUCACUACAGGGACAUACUGGAGUUUUUCUACAAUUGAAAGAUUUACAGAUGUUCAUAUGAUCUAUGUGUAGGCACGCCUGAAAGCUGACACGCUACAGAUUCUCACCAGCUUUUAGUCAUGCUCGUAUGUUAAAACCCCGUCAUGAUGUUACGUGAGAAAGAAGAUACAAGGGAGUCUGACCAUGGUGGAGCUCGCCGGCGAUUCUCACGUCCCCAGGGGGUUAACACACCUUCCAUAAAAAGCAGGUAGUGUGUUCUACAGCCAUGUUUCAUAUUUACUGUAAUAAACUCACAUUACAGUCCAAAUUUUCCAUGAACAUUGCAGGUAUUAAAGAGUUUGCUGUGCUAAUUUAAGUCAAUCUCCUCACCGUUUCUUUCAUUCGUAACAUUACUGUUCAACAGAGUGAACACUAGGUAAGAGCUAGUAAUGUCGCGCAUGCGUAGUAGACGGUAGGCGGUGCUGCCGCAGUACAACUCCAGGUGUGUACGCGGAUCAGGUAGCGACCGUCGACGCAGAUCUAUUCUACACUAAAACUCAUUUUCCGCUCCUUUACCUGGUACGGAAACGAAACUGCGUCAGAUUACGGAACCCAGAAGAAGGAAACACUCAGCCCCUUAGCAUGAAGUAUGAGGAGCAGAAAGUAUUUAGUAGACCAUGUCUUGUCUGCAUGAUGUUUUCCAGGUGACAGAAAGUGGAAUAGAGGUGGACAGUAAUCGUUUGGAGUCAGAUGGUGCCUCUGGAGAUGAUCAUCAUUGCACCCAACAUUCACAGGAUGAGUCUACAUUCUGCAAUCUGGUGCCAGAUGAAACAUUUGCUGAUGACCAGUAUUGAAUACCGCAGUCACAAGUGGAAACAAGCACUCCUCAGAUAUUGAACCAGAACUGAAACCAUCGACAGAGCAAGCCCAGAAAACCUCAUCUGAGCAAGCAACAGAAUCAACCAGUACCACAUCUGUUCCCAAAGGUGUUAAGGUGGUAAAGAAAAAGAAAUGGGAGACCAGUGAAGUGAAAGCAGUUGAAAAACAUCUGUACAGGUUCAUGAAAACUUGCACAGUGCCAGGAAAAAAACAUUGUGAGUCCUGUAUUAAAGCUGAGCCUGUUGCACUGAAAGGCAGGGAUCGGUUGUCCGUUAAGUUCUUUGUAAAAAAUAGAAUCACUGCCCUUAAAAGGAAAAUGUAACCCAGAAAAAGUCUGCAUGGUUUCAUUUGGUUUUAUUUGCACAGAUCAUUGGUAGUUUUAGUUUAUUAUUAUUAUUAUUAUUAUUAUUAUUAUUAUUAUUAUUAAGUUUAUAAUUAUUAUUAUUAAGUUUAUGGCUUGAAUUUUGUAUUGUUUUACUUUUUUUUUUUACAUUUC